UGGCCUAGUGGUUAAGGCUAUGGAUCGCCAAUCCGGAGACGGCGGGUUUGAUUCCCGU
rnacentral:tRNA from 1 species